ACCGUAUUUAACACCUAGACUUGCCUCCUGGUCACUCAGAUGUUUGGAGCGAAGACAGAUUUGUGAUUCCUCCUCUAGCACCUUCUUACCUGGGAGGGUGCUCUCUCAUCAAAGUCAAAUAUUUUGUAACGCUUUCAAUAAAACCCUCUGGACCAUCGUUUAACUUACAAAUCCCAGCUGAAGUAAUCAUAGGAACCAUUCCACUACAGUCAGUGGUACAGCAAUAUCAACAGGCAAAUUCCAGACCUCAGCCAUCCGCUCCACCAUUAAUGCCUACUCCUAGCUUCACUGAAUCGAUAUGGGGCCCAACCAACAUCGAAAGGGACGAGGGGGAAGAGAAUGGGCAGAUAUAUGGACAACUGGAAUUUAC